rnacentral:rRNA from 1 species
CAAUAGCGUAUAUUUAAGUUGUUGCAGUUAAAAAGCUCGUAGUCGGAUUUUGGCUGAGAACGAUCGGUCCGCCGUUAGGUGUGCACUGAUUGGUCUCAGCUUCCUGGUGGGGAGGUGUGCUUCACGGCCACUUAGUCACCGUGGUUACUUUGAAAAAAUUAGAGUGUUCAAAGCGGGCUUACGCUUGAAUAUAUUAGCAUGGAAUAACACCAUAGGACUCCUGUCCUAUUUCGUUGGUCUCGGGACGGGAGUAAUGAUUAAGAGGAACAGUUGGGGGCAUUCGUAUUUCAUUGUCAGAGGUGAAAUUCUUGGAUUUAUGAAAGACGAACUUCUGCGAAAGCAUUUGCCAAGGAUGUUUUCAUUGA